rnacentral:rRNA from 1 species
UUUAUGGGGUGACUGCGUACCUUUUGUAUAAUGGGUCAGCGACUUAUAUUCUGUAGCAAGGUUAACCGUAUAGGGGAGCCGCAGGGAAACCGAGUCUUAACUGGGCGUUAAGUUGCAGGGUAUAGACCCGAAACCCGGUGAUCUAGCCAUGGGCAGGUUGAAGGUUGGGUAACACUAACUGGAGGACCGAACCGACUAAUGUUGAAAAAUUAGCGGAUGACUUGUGGCUGGGGGUGAAAGGCCAAUCAAACCGGGAGAUAGCUGGUUCUCCCCGAAAGCUAUUUAGGUAGCGCCUCGUGAACUCAUCUUCGGGGGUAGAGCACUGUUUCGGCUAGGGGGCCAUCCCGGCUUACCAACCCGAUGCAAACUACGAAUACCGAAGAAUGUUAUCACGGGAGACACACGGCGGGUGCUAACGUCCGUCGUGAAGAGGGAAACAACCCAGACCGCCAGCUAAGGUCCCAAAGUCAUGGUUAAGUGGGAAACGAUGUGGGAAGGCACAGACAGCCAGGAUGUUGGCUUAGAAGCAGCCAUCAUUUAAAGAAAGCGUAAUAGCUCACUGGUCGAGUCGGCCUGCGCGGAAGAUGUAACGGGGCUAAACCAUGCACCGAAGCUGCGGCAGCGACACUAUGUGUUGUUGGGUAGGGGAGCGUUCUGUAAGCCGUUGAAGGUGGACUGUGAGGUCUGCUGGAGGUAUCAGAAGUGCGAAUGCUGACAUAAGUAACGAUAAAGCGGGUGAAAAGCCCGCUCGCCGGAAGACCAAGGGUUCCUGUCCAACGUUAAUCGGGGCAGGGUGAGUCGACCCCUAAGGCGAGGCCGAAAGGCGUAGUCGAUGGGAAACAGGUUAAUAUUCCUGUACUCGGUGUUACUGCGAAGGGGGGACGGAGAAGGCUAUGUCAUCCGGGCGACGGUUGUCCCGGUUUAAGCAGGUAGGCGGAGUGUCCAGGUAAAUCCGGACACUUAUUCAACGCUGAGAUGUGAUGACGAGGCACUACGGUGCUGAAGUGAUAAAUGCCCUGCUUCCAGGAAAAGCCUCUAAGCAUCAGGUAACACAGAAUCGUACCCCAAACCGACACAGGUGGUCAGGUAGAGAAUACCAAGGCGCUUGAGAGAACUCGGGUGAAGGAACUAGGCAAAAUGGUGCCGUAACUUCGGGAGAAGGCACGCUGGCGCGUAGGUGAAGUCCCUUGCGGACGGAGCUGAAGCCAGUCGAAGAUACCAGCUGGCUGCAACUGUUUAUUAAAAACACAGCACUGUGC